CGCCGUCCGAACCGUGCGCGAUCGAAACACGUCAACGCUGCCCGGGGGUGAAUUAAGCGAAACGACAUUAUCGCAUUGCAUUCGCGGGCGUUCCGUCGUAUGACGAUUGCGGACCCGGUAUUACAAUACCGCGUACAUUUGUGACGGGCGGCGGGGCGGGGCGGGGCGGAGGGGCGGGGGUUGGGGGUUUGCACGGAAAAUAACCGUAUCAUCCGUGAGGGACCGACGUGCGAACGAAAACGUGACAAACACGCGCAUAAACUCGCCGCUAAACAUUACGCGAAUGUUGUAAUGUUACAAGCGCCCGAUAAAUAAAUUCAACGUAUUGUAUUAUAAAUACUUAAUGCGUGACGUGCGAUAUACGAGUAAUUCAAAUGAGUUUUGAAUACAUUUGUCAAUCGUGUUUAGUCUAUUAAUGAUAACCGUAUGUAGUAUAAUAACAUAAAACAUUAUGUAUUUUAUUCAUUUGUAUUGAAAAAUGCGAUUAUUAUUAUUAUUAUUAUUAUUAUCACCCGGAAUGUGUUUUUAAUUAUUUAUUUAUUAGUUAUCAAUAUUCCGCAUAAGUACACGCGCGAAAAAAAAAACCACAUAUUCUUACUUGAUGUUUCGAACGAAACAAAAUGCACCCGUUCGAAUAAUACACACUUAAUGCAAGUAAAGGUAUUUUAUAAUAUGUUAUCCUACCGGACGUUAUAAUCCAACACCUCCGGAAUAAUAUGCAAAUGUUUUUUUUUUUCCGUUUUCUGUGAACGUUGUAUAUAUGCCUAACCCGCAUAAUAAAUUUAUGACUCGCUUGAAACGAUGCGUGCAAUAUUUAAAAAAAAAAACCAUUCGAAAUAUAUCGAAUGUACAAUACUCCCGGGACACCGGUUUACCAUCUGCGUUAUCGCAGCGGGCGUUGUAUUGCGUUAUGCAUAAAAUAUGUUUAUGAUCAUCAUAAAAUAUUAUAUUAUGGUAAUAAUGGUAUUUCGAGAGACGCGACUGCAGAUGUGAACCGACUUGAUGUGAAAUGCCUACGAGCGACAAGUAUGCUUCGAUAACGGUGUAUACGACUAUUAUUAUAGGUGCAUGUACUUAUAUUAUAAAUUAAUCGACCGCGGUUUUACAAUAUUUUAACAAAACUGUGUACAUUUUUGCAAUAACAUUUAUCCCCGUUCGAUUUCGUUCUGUGCAGUAUAAUUUCGAAUCGACCGCAUCGAGUAUAAUUUUAUGACGAAAAGGGGGGGGGAAGGAGCAGGACGAUCUGCUCCGGAGUCUUGUGCCCGGGACUGCAGUGUGAUCUGUUGUGAGGCGUCGGUAAAUUGUUAGGAUCCGCAACCUAUUGGUAACAUAGACAUUUCCGAAAAAAAACGGCGAACUAAUUUUAUUUCCAAACACUGUCGUACAGUUAACGGUCCGUUUUUCGAUUAUUACAUCAAUUAAUAAUAAUAACAAUAAUAAGGUUUCCUAUUCGUUGGUACGUUUAGUAUAGGUAUAUGGCACCCGCAAAAAAAAAAAAAUAUAUAUAUAUAUAUAGGAAAUAAUCGAUGAUAAUCGUCAAUAUCGCGAUUGUCGUAG